rnacentral:rRNA from 1 species
AUGCCGCACACGGCUGCCAAUGCCGGACAAACUCGUGCCGCCGAACUGCCAUCGAAGGCUUUCCACAAAUUGAGAUUUGGCCGUAAAAGGAUCGAAUUGUAUCCGAAGAACAGGGGAUACAAAAAAGUAAUAAGAGAAACGCACCGAACCAGAAAAGGAAGCGAGCCAACGUACUCCUAUCCCAUGCAUGCAUGCGUCCACGCGCCGGACAUGUGCCGCAACGUGUCACGCAUGCCGGCGAGAGAGGAUAAACGACGACGGCGAGAUGAGCGGCGGGCGGGAAUGAUAAGAGCGCCGAUGCAGAGAGAGUGCCAGUAG